CAGCGCCUCCCCUCCGCCGGCGGCCGAACCAGCACCACUUCCCCUCCACCUUCGCCCACUGCCAGCGUCCAAACUCCAAAGCAGCACCACCUCCCCUCGCCGAUCUUUCUUGGAAUCAAAGAUGACUACCGCUGUUGCCUUGUAACUGAUAUUGAAAUAGAUCUAUGAACUUAUUUUCAGUGUUGGUGUUGUUGUUGACUUGUAGUUUAUAUUGAAGAUUUGAAGUGGACUUGUGAACUUACUUAUUUUGAGUGCUUAAGUGUAGUUGAUAUUGCAGUGAAGUUGUGCACAUUUUAAGUUUUUAACAAAUGAAGUUUGGACUUUGGAAUGUUUAAAAA